UACAGAGGUGGCAAGCGUUGUUCGGAAUUACUGGGCGUAAAGGGCGCGUAGGCGGCCUUGUAAGUCCUGUGUGAAAUCCCCCGGCUCAACUGGGGAACUGCACAGGAGACUGCUUGGCUUGAGUUCGGGAGAGGGAAGGCGGAAUUCCGGGUGUAGCGGUGGAAAUGCGCAGAAUAUCAGGAGGAACACCGGUGGCGAAGGCGGCACUCGUGGGCCGGUACUGACGCUGAGGAGCGAAAGCGUGGGGAGCGAACAGG
rnacentral:rRNA from 1 species